UAUCGGGACUAUUAUGAAAUUGUUAUUUGAUCUUGAUGAAGUUUUUUUUAUAUAAUAUUACUAUACAUGUUUUUACAACAUAUUAUGUUCAAACUUUUUCAUAAAAUGUCUUGCUUAAUCACCAAUAAGAUAUUGUACAAUAAAAUGACCCAAAGGCACACAAAUACACAAUUUCACCUGAACACUACACCUCUCGGAAGACGAAAAAUCAUAGUUCAUCAAAAUCAACAACCUACCAAUGGUCGCCAUUGGAAGCAACGACAUAAUUAAAGAAAAUAAAUUUAAGGAGCUAAUAGAAGAGUUUUAGGCAAUGAUAAAACAGAAUGUGAAUUAAUUUUAUGAUUUUUAGAUUGAACCCAAUCUCAGCAAAAUUUUCAAACUAUGGCGGUAGAAAUAUCUGUAGAAUUUAUUACCACUAAAUCUCAAGCAAAGCAGAUAAAUAGUAGAUCUAUUACAAAGAGCUGCUGAAAAAAGAUCAAACGAUGAAGUUUUGGGAAAAAAUCUAUUAAGUACAAAAUGCUUGAACAAAUGCCAG